GACGAACGCUGGCGGCGUGCUUAACACAUGCAAGUCGAACGAAGAGCGAUGGAAGCUUGCUUCUAUCAAUCUUAGUGGCGAACGGGUGAGUAACGCGUAAUCAACCUGCCCUUCAGAGGGGGACAACAGUUGGAAACGACUGCUAAUACCGCAUACGAUCUAAUCUCGGCAUCGAGGAUAGAUGAAAGGUGGCCUCUACAUGUAAGCUAUCACUGAAGGAGGGGAUUGCGUCUGAUUAGCUAGUUGGUGGGGUAACGGCCCACCAAGGCGAUGAUCAGUAGCCGGUCUGAGAGGAUGAACGGCCACAUUGGGACUGAGACACGGCCCAGAAUCCUACGGGAGGCAGCAGUGGGGAAUCUUCCGCAAUGGACGAAAGUCUGACGGAGCAACGCCGCGUGAGUGAUGACGGCCUUCGGGUUGUAAAGCUCUGUUAAUCGGGACGAAAGGCCUUCUUGCGAAUAGUGAGAAGGAUUGACGGUACCGGAAUAGAAAGCCACGGCUAACUACGUG
rnacentral:rRNA from 1 species